rnacentral:rRNA from 1 species
CUCGUAGGCGGUCUGUCGCGUCGGAUGUGAAAACUCGGAGCUCAACUCCGGGCCUGCAUUCGAUACGGGCAGACUAGAGUUCGGUAGGGGAGAUUGGAAUUCCUGGUGUAGCGGUGGAAUGCGCAGAUAUCAGGAGGAACACCGAUGGCGAAGGCAGAUCUCUGGGCCGAUACUGACGCUGAGGAGCGAAAGCAUGGGGAGCAAACAGGAUUAGAUACCCUGGUAGUCC